GAGACACCCUUAUCGGGCAGGACUUGCUUCAGUGGGGCUUUGGUGCUCACUGAGGCUGCCUCUUGAGUAUGUCACU
rfam:Myotis lucifugus cont2.35607, whole genome shotgun sequence.